UACGGAGGGUGCAAGCGUUAUCCGGAUUCACUGGGUUUAAAGGGUGCGUAGGAGGGCAGGGAAGUCCGUGGUGAAAUCCUAGAGCUUAACUCUAGAACUGCCGUGGAUACUCUCUGUCUUGAAUCCCGUGGAGAUGAGCGGAAUAUGUCAUGUAGCGGUGAAAUGCUUAGAUAUGACAUAGAACACCAAAUUGCGAAGGCAGCUCGUUACACGAAGAUUGACUCUGAGGCACGAAAGCGUGGGGAUCAAACAGG
rnacentral:rRNA from 1 species